GUCCCUAUAGUGCAACAGAUAGCGCGUUGGACUUCUAAUCCAAAGUUCAUGGGUUCGAAUUCCAAAUGGGAUG
rnacentral:tRNA from 1 species